rnacentral:rRNA from 1 species
UACGUAGGGGGCAAGCGUUGUCCGGAUUUAUUGGGCGUAAAGAGCGUGUAGGCGGCCAGGUAGGUCUGCUGUGAAAAACUCGAGGCUCAACCUCGAGACGUCGGCGGAAAACUGUCUGGCUAGAGUCCGGGAAGAGGAGAGUGGAAUUCCUGGUGUAGCGGUUGGAAUGCGCAGAUAUCAGGAGGAACACCGGUGGCGAAGGCGGCUUCUUUGGGGCCGUUAC